rnacentral:rRNA from 1 species
AUUGAACGCUGGCGGCAGGCCUAACACAUGCAAGUCGAGCGAGCGGCGGACGGGUGAGUAAUGUAUGGGGACUGCCCGAUAGAGGGGGAUAACUACUGGAAACGGUAGCUAAUACCGCAUACUAUCGGAUAACCCAUAUGGGAUUAGCUAGUAGGUGAGGUAAUGGCUCACCUAGGCGACGAUCCCUAGCUGGUCUGAGAGGAUGAUCAGCCACACUGGGACUGGGACACGGCCCAGACUCCUACGGAGGCAGCAGUGGGGAAUAUUGCACAAUGGGCGCAAGCCGGAUGCAGCCAUGCCGCGUGUAUGAUGAAGGCCUUCGGGUUGUAAAGUACUUUUGGUGGGGAAGCGUUACCUGCAGAAGAAGCACCGGCUAACUACGUGCCAGCAGCCGCGGUAAUAC